AUCUAAAUAGUUUAAGAGUAAAAUAUUGGUUUGUGGUGCCAAUGAUAUAAGGUGUUUAUUUUAGGUU
rnacentral:tRNA from 1 species